GACGAACGCUGGCGGCGUGCUUAACACAUGCAAGUCGAACGGAAAGGCCCUGCUUGCAGGGUACUCGAGUGGCGAACGGGUGAGUAACACGUGGGUGAUCUGCCCUGCACUUCGGGAUAAGCCUGGGAAACUGGGUCUAAUACCGGAUAGGAGCCAUUUUUAGUGUGAUGGUUGGAAAGUUUUUUCGGUGUAGGAUGAGCUCGCGGCCUAUCAGCUUGUUGGUGGGGUAAUGGCCUACCAAGGCGGCGACGGGUAGCCGGCCUGAGAGGGUGGACGGCCACAUUGGGACUGAGAUACGGCCCAGACUCCUACGGGAGGCAGCAGUGGGGAAUAUUGCACAAUGGGCGCAAGCCUGAUGCAGCGACGCCGCGUGGGGGAUGACGGCCUUCGGGUUGUAAACUCCUUACGCUAGGGACGAAGCUUUUUGUGACGGUACCUAGAUAAGAAGCACCGGCUAACUACGUG
rnacentral:rRNA from 1 species